AUAAAUACUGUGAAAAGCAAGAGUAAUUAUGAGUUUAUUUUAAAGCGAGCUUCGUGAGGUGUGAGGAAGUUAUUUAACUCAAAAUGAAAAUCAGCUUCGAGUAGUGUGAUGAAUUUAGUAAAUCACAAUGGCAGACGACCAUUAUCACGUCCGGGUAUUCACGACGGGAGUCGCUCGUACUUACAGAGGUCGGUAUCGUGAGGUACCGAUGAACAAAGGUGGUAAUCACGCUGAUUCGUCCUUUAU
rnacentral:ncRNA from 1 species